UCCUCCGUUAGUAUAGUGGACAGUAUCUCCGCCUGUCACGCCAAGACGCCCGGGUUCGAUUCCCCGGGGGGAG